GAAAUUUCCGGUUGAAAGUUUCGGCAAUUGAUAUGAUUAGGAUGGGAGUCUAUAUAAAGGGACAGGCUGUGGAGUUCCUCUUCCAAGGCCAAAGCUCUUAUUUUUUAAGUAUAUGCAUUUUCCUUAAUUUCAAAUUAAGAUGGGUAAGAGCAAGAAGAUUUUCAUUGCCCUCCUUACCAUCCUCCUCAUCAUUUUGGUUAUGGCAGUGCCUCCAACAUCUGCUCGUCCAAUGAGAAAAUGCGUAUUUCCAUGUCCAAGUCGACCAGGACCAGGAGGACCAGGGAAGCGCAGAUGAGCGAGUAAUAACAAUAUGGAGUUCCCGCUGAGAAGCUCAAAUAAAUAUUAUAACCCUGUGGAACUGAAGGAUGCUAUCCCUUGUUUCUUUUCUUUUCUGUUGGACUUUAAUGCUAAAGAGAGUUACAUUCUCUUCUUUUUGGUGUUGAUAUAGAUCACACCAGUAAUUUUAGUGGAGCUGAUCCUAUACAUAGUCUUAUAAUAAAUUGCUUUACCCUUCACUUUA